GGAACCGUGGUGUAGGAGUAAGCGUGAUUGCCUCUCACCCAGUUGGCUUGGGUUCGAUUCCAGACGGUCCCG
rnacentral:tRNA from 1 species